UCAUGAAAUGGGUACCAGUUUGAUCUUGCUGCACUGCUGGGAAACCUCCCUUUUGGGCGAGAGGCUUAGGUCCAGGCUGAGGCCAGCUGUUGAGGCCUGGUGAAAACAAAUCAGGUGCAAUAAUGUUCUGCAGUAAAAAGAAAUCACUUGAAGUGGAACGGAUAGUAAAAGCCAAUGACCG